GACGAACGCUGGCGGCGUGCUUAACACAUGCAAGUCGAACGAUGAAGUUCCUUCGGGAAUGGAUUAGUGGCGAACGGGUGAGAAACACGUGAGAAACCUGCCUUUCAUUUUGGGAUAACUCCGGGAAACCGGAGCUAACACCGAAUACUCCGUCUCGGCGGCAUCGCUGAGCCGGGAAAAAAUUUUGAUGAAAGAUGGUCUCGCGGCCUAUCAGCUAGUUGGUGAGGUAAUGGCCCACCAAGGCGACGACGGGUAGCCGGCCUGAGAGGGCGACCGGCCACACUGGGACUGAGACACGGCCCAGACUCCUACGGGAGGCAGCAGUGGGGAAUAUCGGGCAAUGGGCGCAAGCCUGACCCAGCGACGCCGCGUGAGGGAUGAAGGCCUUCGGGUUGUAAACCUCUUUCAGUAGGGAAGAAGCGAAAGUGACGGUACCUAAAGAAGAAGCACCGGCUAACUAUGUGCCAGCCGCCGCGGUAA
rnacentral:rRNA from 1 species